UACAGAGGGGGCAAGCGUUGUUCGGAAUUACUGGGCGUAAAGGGCGCGUAGGCGGCCUUCUAAGUCAGACGUGAAAUCCCCCGGCUUAACCUGGGAACUGCGUCUGAUACUGGAAGGCUUGAGUGCGGGAGAGGGAUGUGGAAUUCCAGGUGUAGCGGUGAAAUGCGUAGAUAUCUGGAGGAACACCGGUGGCGAAGGCGGCAUCCUGGACCGACACUGACGCUGAGGCGCGAAAGCUAGGGUAGCAAACGGG
rnacentral:rRNA from 1 species